AAAAUCACAUCAAUUUUAAAACUCUUUUCGAAGGUUACCUAUGGGUUAAACAAAUACCAAUAAGAGCCCAACUAUACAAAGGAUUGACACUACUCUACUUUUUCAUUUCUAUCCAAUAUGAGACUUAGACUCACACUCACACUUGGAUUCCCAACAAUCUCCCCCUCAAGGGUGAGUCCCUACACUCCCCCUCUAGUGGAAUCAUUCCCAACCAACCA
rnacentral:lncRNA from 1 species